rnacentral:lncRNA from 1 species
GCCCCAGCCCCUCUGCACGUGCCUGAAGAAUAAAUCGCCCGCCUCCCCCCCAGCCCCCUCCGUUAAUUCUUUCCCCCGCUGCUGUGUUUGCUUUUUCUCACUGCAGCUGUAGCGCUGGUCGCGAGCGUGAGCUGACCUAUUGCUGGUUUGUUUGGCACCCCCAGAAAAGACUUUGAAAGCAACGCUAGAGCCUUUAGUAGUCUUCUCCCUCCCCUCCCCUCUCCCCCCCUUUCUUAUUAUCACAGCACUCUCCUUUUGUUGCAGCGCAAUGCAAACACACACGCGUGCAGCCCAGGGAGCAAAGCGUUGGGGACCGGAGCCCCAGAAAUAUUGCACUGUCCAAAGUCCACGGGUUAAAACAAACAUCAACACUGCGUCAAAUAGUUUGCCCCCUGAGCCUCACCUCGACACCUUGGGUUGCACUGCAUAUGUGCAGCGAUCUCAUGGGCAAGACUGCUCACACAGCUACAGAGGUGGGUUGUAAAACAGCACCCGUGGGACACAAAUCAACCACGGACGAUGGAAUAGUGUUUCUCUGUGGCCAUCGAGAGAUGCAAUGGUUUCUGGUGUCCAUGAGGUAAUGUUGGAAUUACAAAUAAUCACAACAAAAGCCCAAUGGCCUCCCUGAUCAUGCUUCCCACACCUCCCCAUCAUGUCAGAACAAUGACUGGGGACAAGAUUAAACCUGGCACCAUUCUUCAACCUGCACACAGAGGUGGAACUGCAGCUCUGCUGAAGACCGCAGGAAUUACCCCGGGGCUGGCUUGCAACCUCCGCUGCAUCCUUUCUGUGCAUGGUAACGAGCUGCUUUUCUUCUGCCAUGAGACCUACACGUGUCACACUGGCUUGUGGGAUUGUCCUCGUUGCAGGUGAGGACCAGAGAGCUUGGGUGGCAGAGCUGGGAAGGCUGCAGCAAAG